CACUGGUCGAGUCGGCCCGCGCGGAAGAUGUAACGGGGCUAAACCAUGCACCGAAGCUGCGGCAGCGACACAAAGUGUUGUUGGGUAGGGGAGCGUUCUGUAAGCCUGCGAAGGUGUACUGUGAGGUAUGCUGGAGGUAUCAGAAGUGCGAAUGCUGACAUAAGUAACGAUAAUGCGGGUGAAAAACCCGCACGCCGGAAGACCAAGGGUUCCUGUCCAACGUUAAUCGGGGCAGGGUGAGUCGACCCCUAAGGCGAGGCUGAAAAGCGUAGUCGAUGGGAAACGGGUUAAUAUUCCCGUACUGGUGGUAACUGCGAUGGGGGAACGGAGAAGGCUAGGUUGUCCGGGCGACGGUCGUCCCGGUUCAAGCAGGUAGGCAGAGUGAUUAGGCAAAUCCGGUCACUUAAUGCUGAGAUGUGAUGACGAACCACCAAGGUGGUGAAGCAAUUGAUGCCCCGCUUCCAGGAAAAGCCUCUAAGCUUCAGGUUACCAACAAUCGUACCCCAAACCGACACAGGUGGUCAGGUAGAGAAUACUCAGGCGCUUGAGAGAACUCGGGUGAAGGAACUAGGCAAAAUGGUGCCGUAACUUCGGGAGAAGGCACGCUGGCGGUAGGUAAAGUCCCUCGCGGACAGAGCUGAAGCCAGUCGAAGAUACCAGCUGGCUGCAACUGUUUAUUAAAAACACAGCACUGUGCAAACACGAA
rnacentral:rRNA from 1 species